rnacentral:lncRNA from 1 species
AGAAGCUCACCGUAGAUGUCCCUCGGGCCUGGAGGAUCGACACCGGGACCGGCAGACUGUAUGGCAGAAAUGGCAGACUUGUAGUAUGUAUUGUCUGCAGCAUUCGCUGGAAUGUGGCUGAAGUGGAACCAGGAUCCAAUAGCUCGCCACAUAUCCUUCUUCUUCUCCUUCUACAUUGUGUCUACCCUUUGCUGCUUCGAAACU